UACGGGGGGUGCGAGCGUUGUCCGGAAUCACUGGGCGUAAAGGGUGCGUAGGUGGCGAGGUAAGUCGGAUGUGAAAGCUCGGAGCUCAACUCCGAAAUGGCAUUGGAAACUACCUGGCUUGAGGGUUGGAAGGGGGACUGGAAUUCUCGGUGUAGCAGUGAAAUGCGUAGAUAUCGAGAGGAACACCAGUGGCGAAGGCGAGUCCCUGGACAAUACCUGACACUGAGGCACGAAAGCUAGGGGAGCAAACAGG
rnacentral:rRNA from 1 species